GACGAACGCUGGCGGCGUGCCUAACACAUGCAAGUCGAGCGAGUUGAUUCUCUUCGGAGAUGAAGCUAGCGGCGGACGGGUGAGUAACACGUGGGCAACCUGCCUCAUAGAGGGGAAUAGCCUCCCGAACGGGAGAUUAAUACCGCAUAAGAUUGUAGCUUCGCAUGAAGUAGCAAUUAAAGGAGUAAUCCGCUAUGAGAUGGGCCCGCGGCGCAUUAGCUAGUUGGUGAGGUAACGGCUCACCAAGGCGACGAUGCGUAGCCGACCUGAGAGGGUGAUCGGCCACAUUGGGACUGAGACACGGCCCAGACUCCUACGGGAGGCAGCAGUGGGGAAUAUUGCACAAUGGGGGAAACCCUGAUGCAGCAACGCCGCGUGAGUGAUGACGGCCUUCGGGUUGUAAAGCUCUGUCUUCAGGGACGAUAAUGACGGUACCUGAGGAGGAAGCCACGGCUAACUACGUGCCAGCCGCCGCCGUAAUAC
rnacentral:rRNA from 1 species